CUAUUAUUUCAGGUCUAUUUUAAAAUUUUGUUAGUAUUUUAUAGUUGGACAAUUCACUAAAGAAGAAGAGAAAUAAGCCAAAUUCUAAACCAUCAUCUAUAAGCACAUGCACCCAACUGACGUUGGUGGAAAAGCAGAUGCACUCCACUUGACUUGGUGGAAACAGCAGAUGCGCCCAACUAGCCUUUGUGGAAACAGCAGAUACACUCCACUGGGCUUGGUGGAAACAGCAGAUGCACUCCACUGGACUUGGUGGAAACAGAAGAUGCACCCAACUGGACUUGGUGGAUACAGAAGAUGGACCCAACAGGACAUGAUGGAUACAACUGGAGGAGACUUGCCUGAUGAUGUUGACCUUCCAAACAAGACAUAUCAAACGAGAUAAUGACACUGAUCAGCUCUACUGGUCAGUGACAAGAAAGCUUGUGAUCGUAAACAAGGGCAUGACAUGGUGGAAACAGCUGGAGGAGACAGGGCCAUUGGAUGCUAAUCUUCCAAGAUGUGGAAACAGCAGAUUCCUCAACAAGACAUGUGUUACAGCAGAAGCAUCCAACUGGACAUGGAUAGAAACAACUUGAUGAUGCAUAGCUAGUACUUGCUGAUCGUCCAAGAUGUGGAAACAGCAAAUGCGCCCAACAGUUCAUGGUGAAAACAGUAGAUGAACCCAAAAGGACCUGAUAGAAACAACUGGAGGAGGAAUAGCCAAAGGAUGCUGAUCUGACAUUUAUCAGCUGCAGCCAACAGAACCUUGUGGAAACAACUGGAAUAGACAAGCUUGAUGAACCUCUUUUAAGAUGGGAAAACAAUGAUUUUCCAAUAUGCGAAAACACCAGCUACACCCAAAAGGAAUUGGUGGAAAGAUGAGAAAACAGCAAAUUCUUCUAAAAAGACUUAGUGAAAUAAA